GCUCAAAUUUAAAAUCUGGCAGUCUUUGGCUGUCCGAGUUGUAAACUAGAGAAGUGUUACCCGCGUCGGACCGUGUACAAGUCUCCUGGAAUGGGGCAUCAUAGAGGGUGAGAAUCCCGUCUUUGACAUGGACUACCGAGGCUUUUGUGGUGCGCUCUCAACGAGUCGAGUUGUUUGGGAAUGCAGCUCAAAAUGGGUGGUAAAUUCCAUCUAAAGCUAAAUAUUGGCGAGAGACCGAUAGCGAACAAGUACCGUGAGGGAAAGAUGAAAAGAACUUUGGAAAGAGAGUUAAACAGUACGUGAAAUUGCUGAAAGGGAAACGCUUGAAGUCAGUCGCGUUGGCCGGAAAUCAACCCUGCUUCUGUUGGGUGUACUUUCUGGUUGACGGGCCAGCAUCAGUUUUGACCGGUG
rnacentral:rRNA from 1 species